GACGAACGCUGGCGGCGUGCUUAACACAUGCAAGUCGAGCGGUAAGGCCUUUCGUGGUACACGAGCGGCGAACGGGUGAGUGACACGUGGGUGAUCUGCCCUGCACUUCGGGAUAAGCCUGGGAAACUGGGUCUAAUACCGGAUAUGACCUCCUAUCGCAUGGUGGGUGGUGGAAAGAUUUAUCGGUGCAGGAUGGGCCCGCGGCCUAUCAGCUUGUUGGUGGGGUAAUGGCCUACCAAGGCGACGACGGGUAGCCGACCUGAGAGGGUGACCGGCCACACUGGGACUGAGACACGGCCCAGACUCCUACGGGAGGCAGCAGUGGGGAAUAUUGCACAAUGGGCGAAAGCCUGAUGCAGCGACGCCGCGUGAGGGAUGACGGCCUUCGGGUUGUAAACCUCUUUCAGCAGGGACGAAGCGCAAGUGACGGUACAUGCAGAAGAAGCACCGGCUAACUACGUG
rnacentral:rRNA from 1 species